UACGUAGGUGACAAGCGUUGUCCGGAUUUACUGGGCGUAAAGAGCGCGCAGGCGGUCGAUCAAGUCGAGUGUGAAAGCCCCCGGCUCAACUGGGGAGGGUCAUUCGAUACUGAUCGACUCGAAGGCAGGAGAGGGUAGUGGAAUUCCCGGUGUAGUGGUGAAAUGCGUAGAUAUCGGGAGGAACACCAGUGGCGAAGGCGACUACCUGGCCUGUUCUUGACGCUCAGGCACGAAAGCAUGGGGAGCAAAAGGG
rnacentral:rRNA from 1 species